AUAUUCCUUUAAAGGCAAAUUAAAGCUGUGGGUUGACUGACUGCUAGACGUCCCAGAGGAUCCAGUCGAUGCACCAAAAUACCUUCCGAGGGGACGUAAAAACACUAUCGCAACAGUUACGAACGAAGAAAAGAGAUAACGAUAACUGGGUGCCAAGAAGACCACUCCUCCUCUUUUCCAAGAGGACUAGGAGUACUCCGUCUUAGGAACCACUGCUGUUGCAGGCAGUCGUCUGCAGAGGUUACUGUAUGAAGCUUUUAAGGCCUUUUUGAUUGAUCGGCCACUCGAUGGGGAUUCACAGAGGAGCUCUCACCUGUGUCGCCUCCUGCCCUCCGCCCUGCCGCCUGCCCUCCCUCUUCUGCACCUCCUCCACACACAUCAUGAAACUGGUAUUAACUGAAUGGCAAUUGAUAUGGAUUUUUACUGAUUCUAGUAGACAGUAAACCAACUAACAC
ensembl:lncRNA